UGAAAACACGUUUAUCCCCGUCCCGAUC
rnacentral:sRNA from 1 species